rnacentral:tRNA from 1 species
AAGAUUCUAGCUUAAUAAAAGUAUCUGAGUUGCAUUCAGAAGAUGUGGGUUGAUAUCCUACGAGUCUUA